AUUGAACGCUGGCGGCAGGCCUAACACAUGCAAGUCGAGCGAGUGGCAGACGGGUGAGUAAUGUCUGGGAAACUGCCUGAUGGGGGGGGAUAACUACUGGAAACGGUAGCUAAUACCGCAUACCAUCAGAUGUGCCCAGAUGGGAUUAGCUAGUUGGUGGGGUAACGGCUCACCAAGGCGACGCUCCCUCGCUGGUCUGAGAGGAUGACAAGCCACACUGGAACUGAGACACGGGCCAGACUCCGACGGGAGGCAGCAGUGGGGAAUAUUGCACAAUGGGCGCAAGCCUGAUGCAGCCAUGCCGCGUGUAUGAAGAAGGCCUUCGGGUUGUAAAGUACUUUCAGCGGGGAGGCGUUACCCGCAGAAGAAGCACCGGCUAACUCCGUGCCAGCAGCCGCGGUAAUAC
rnacentral:rRNA from 1 species